rnacentral:rRNA from 1 species
UGGGGAAUCUUGCACAAUGGGCGAAAGCCUGAUGCAGCGACGCCGCGUGCGGGAUGAAGGCCUUCGGGUUGUAAACCGCUUUCAGCAGGGACGAGGCCGCAAGGUGACGGUACCUGUAGAAGAAGCCCCGGCUAACUACGUGCCAGCAGCCGCGGCAAUACGUAGGGGGCAAGCGUUAUCCGGAUUCAUUGGGCGUAAAGCGCGCGUAGGCGGUUUGUUAGGUCAGGAGUUAAAUCUGGGGGCUCAACCCCUAUCCGCUCCUGAUACCGGCAGGCUUGAGUCUGGUAGGGGAAGGCGGAAUUCCAAGUGUAGCGGUGAAAUGCGCAGAUAUUUGGAAGAACACCGGUGGCGAAGGCGGCCUUCUGGGCCACGACUGACGCUGAGGCGCGAAAGCUAGGGGAGCGAACAGG